ensembl:lincRNA Gm1647 uncharacterized LOC110319724
ACCACUAGUAAGUGCUGGAGCCCUAGUUUGAUUCUGGACCUGUUUAUCUCUGAACACCGCACUCCUGGUAGAUGAACCAGCUGUCACUCUGGCUUCGAACGUAGUAUCUCAGGUGGACCUCUCAAAUCUAGCUCUGAAACGUAGGAGACAAAGCUCCUCAAGCCUCAACGUGCAUCAGAAUCCCCUGGGAGGCAUAUACGCCAUGUUGCAAACACUCACUGUACGUCCACUACAAGUCAAAGAUGGCUGAGACGAAGGGUCCUCAUUACCAGCCUUACAAAGUUCGACCUGAAAAGUCAGCCCACACAGAAAGAGGAAAACACCCGUACACAGCGAGUUUACGAGGAGUUAACACAGAAGAUGCACUUGAAGUCUGAACAACCCAUGAUGGCCCAUAGAACCAGGCAAGGCACUCAGAGGCAGCACUCAGACUACGAACAUCCAUGUGGUGACAAGGGCCGCGAACGUCAAUACAGACCCCGGAUACAGCAGAACCUCAGCCCCAGAGGUGGCCCUCAGUGACAGUUCUAACCCAGAGACAUCACCAUGGCCUCAGGUGGCAAUGCAGGCCACUCACCUGGUCCUGCUGUGUAGCAUCUACAGUCGCGACUCUCGCCACAGUGCACUCACAGCUCUGCUAGUCUAGCGUUCCCACCUCUCCAUCACACAUUUAUUCUUUGGAGAUGAGGCUGCCACGCGAGCUGUGAAGGUGGAGGCCUCAAAAACUAAUUUUAAGGGUAAAAAUGUCAUACAAAUUGU